CUACGGGGGGCUCCAGUGGGGAAUCUUGCACAAUGGGCGCAAGCCUGAUGCAGCAACGCCGCGUGAGUGAAGAAGGCUCUUGGGUUGUAAAGCUCUUUCGGCUGGGAAGAAGGGUCUUGGUGCGAAUAGUUCCAAGAUUUGACGGUACCAGAAGAAGAAGCACCGGCUAACUGCCGUGCCAGCAGCCGCGGUAAUACGGAGGGUGCAAGCGUUGUUCGGAUUGACUGGGCGUAAAGAGCACGUAGGCGGGUUCGCAAGUUGGAUGUGAAAUCCCCGGGCUUAACCUGGGAACUGCAUCCAAGACUGCGAAUCUUGAAUGCUUGAGAGGUUGGUGGAAUUCCUGGUGUAGGAGUGAAAUCCGUAGAUAUCAGGAGGAACACCGGUGGCGAAGGCGGCCAACUGGCGAUGCAUUGACGCUGAGGUGCGAAAGCGUGGGGAGCAAACAGGAUUAGAUACCCUAGUAGUC
rnacentral:rRNA from 1 species